rnacentral:rRNA from 1 species
UACGGAGGAUGCGAGCGUUAUCCGGAUUUAUUGGGUUUAAAGGGUGCGUAGGCGGACUGUCAAGUCAGCGGUAAAAUUGAGAGGCUCAACCUCUUCCCGCCGUUGAAACUGGUGGUCUUGAGUGGAUGAGAAGUACGCGGAAUGCGUGGUGUAGCGGUGAAAUGCAUAGAUAUCACGCAGAACACCGAUUGCGAAGGCAGCGUACCGGCAUCCAACUGACGCUGAGGCACGAAAGCGUGGGGAUCAAACAGG